UCUGGUGCCGAUGCGCUUAGGGGAAACACCCGUACCCAUUCCGAACACGAUGGUUAAGACUUAAGCGGCCGAUGGUACUAUGCUGGAGACGGCAUGGGAGAGCAGGUGGGUGCCAGAU
rnacentral:rRNA from 1 species